rnacentral:rRNA from 1 species
CUACGGGGCGCUGCAGUCGAGAAUCUUCCGCAAUGGGCGAAAGCCUGACGGAGCAAUGCCGCGUGCAGGAUGAAGGCCUUCGGGUCGUAAACUGCUGUCACCGGGGAUGAAUAAUGACAGUACCCGGGGAGGAAGUCACGGCUAACUACGUGCCAGCAGCCGCGGUGAUACGUAGGUGACAAGCGUUGUUCGGAUUUAUUGGGCGUAAAGGGUUCGUAGGAUGUUGAUUAAGAUUGGUGUGAAAUCCCAAGGCUCAACCUUGGAACUGCAUUGAUUACUGAUGAACUAGAGUGUCGUAGAGGAAAGCGGAAUUCCAGGUGUAGCGGUGGAAUGCGUAGAUAUCUGGAAGAACACCGACAGCGAAGGCAGCUUUCUGGGCGAUAACUGACUCUGAGGAACGAAAGCAUGGGGAGCAAACAGGAUUAGAUACCCCCGUAGUC